UUGGCACUAGAAGCCGAUGAAGGACGUGACUAACAACGAAAUGCUUUGGGGAGCUGUAAGUGAGCAAUGAUCCAGAGAUGUCCGAAUGGGGGAACCCGGCAGGUAAUGCCUGUCACUCAUUACUGUUAAGGUAAUGUAGAGGAAGACGCAGUGAACUGAAACAUCUAAGUAGCUGCAGGAAGAGAAAGCAAAAGCGAUUGCCUUAGUAGCGGCGAGCGAAACGGCAAGAGGGCAAACCGAAGAGUUUACUCUUCGGGGUUGUAGGACUGCAACGUGGACUUAAAGAUUAUAGAAGAACUACCUGGGAAGGUAGGCCAAAGGGAGUAAUAGCCUCGUAUUCGAAAUAGUCUUUAUACCUAGCAGUAUCCUGAGUACGGCGAGACACGAGAAAUCUCGUCGGAAUCUGGGAGGACCAUCUCCCAACCCUAAAUACUCUCUAGUGACCGAUAGUGAACCAGUACCGUGAGGGAAAGGUGAAAAGCACCCCGGGAGGGGAGUGAAAUAGAACCUGAAACCGUGUGCCUACAACAAGUUCAAGCCCGUUAAUGGGUGAGAGCGUGCCUUUUGUAGAAUGAACCGGCGAGUUACGAUAUGAUGCGAGGUUAAGUUGAAGAAACGGAGCCGUAGGGAAACCGAGUCUUAAUAGGGCGCAUUAGUAUCAUGUCGUAGACCCGAAACCAUGUGACCUACCCAUGAGCAGGUUGAAGGUGAGGUAAAACUCACUGGAGGACCGAACCAGGGCACGUUGAAAAGUGCUUGGAUGACUUGUGGGUAGCGGAGAAAUUCCAAACGAACUUGGAGAUAGCUGGUUCUCUCCGAAAUAGCUUUAGGGCUAGCGUCGAUGUUAAGUCUCUUGGAGGUAGAGCACUGUUUGGGUGAGGGGUCCAUCCCGGAUUUACCAAUCUCAGAUAAACUCCGAAUGCCAAUGAGAUAUAAUCGGCAGUCAGACUGCGAGUGCUAAGAUCCGUAGUCGAAAGGGAAACAGCCCAGACCACCAGCUAAGGUCCCAAAAUAUAUGUUAAGUGGAAAAGGAUGUGGGGUUGCACAGACAACUAGGAUGUUAGCUUAGAAGCAGCUAUUCAUUCAAAGAGUGCGUAAUAGCUCACUAGUCGAGUGACCCUGCGCCGAAAAUGUACCGGGGCUAAAACAUAUUACCGAAGCUGUGGAUACCUUUAUAGGUAUGGUAGGAGAGCGUUCUAUGUGCGAAGAAGGUGUACCGUGAGGAGUGCUGGAGCGCAUAGAAGUGAGAAUGCCGGUAUGAGUAGCGAAAGACAGGUGAGAAUCCUGUCCACCGUAAGACUAAGGUUUCCAGGGGAAGGCUCGUCCGCCCUGGGUUAGUCGGGACCUAAGGAGAGACCGAAAGGUGUAUCCGAUGGACAACAGGUUGAUAUUCCUGUACUAGAGUAUAUAGUGAUGGAGGGACGCAGUAGGCUAACUAAACCAGACGAUUGGAAGUGUCUGGCCAAGCAGUGAGGUGUGAUAUGAGUCAAAUGCUUAUAUCUCUAACAUUGAGCUGUGAUGGGGAGCGAAGUUUAGUAGCGAAGUUAGUGAUGUCACACUGCCGAGAAAAGCUUCUAGCGUUAAUUAUACUCUACCCGUACCGCAAACCGACACAGGUAGUCGAGGCGAGUAGCCUCAGGUGAGCGAGAGAACUCUCGUUAAGGAACUCGGCAAAAUGGCCCCGUAACUUCGGGAGAAGGGGCGCUGACUGAUGGUCAGCCGCAGUGAAUAGGCCCAAGCAACUGUUUAUCAAAAACACAGCUCUCUGCUAAAUCGUAAGAUGAUGUAUAGGGGGUGACGCCUGCCCGGUGCUGGAAGGUUAAGAGGAGUGCUUAGCGUAAGCGAAGGUAUGAAUUGAAGCCCCAGUAAACGGCGGCCGUAACUAUAACGGUCCUAAGGUAGCGAAAUUCCUUGUCGGGUAAGUUCCGACCCGCACGAAAGGCGUAAUGAUUUGGGCACUGUCUCAACGAGAGACUCGGUGAAAUUUUAGUACCUGUGAAGAUAGCAGGUUACCCGCGACAGGACGGAAAGACCCCAUGGAGCUUUACUGCAGUUUGAUAUUGAGUAUCUGUACCACAUGUACAGGAUAGGUAGGAGCCUAUGACCUCGGGACGCCAGUUUCGAGUGAGGCGUUGUUGGGAUACUACCCUUGUGUUAUGGCUACUCUAACCCAGAUAGGUUAUCCCUAUCGGAGACAGUGUCUGACGGGCAGUUUGACUGGGGCGGUCGCCUCCUAAAAGGUAACGGAGGCGCCCAAAGGUUCCCUCAGAAUGGUUGGAAAUCAUUCGCAGAGUGUAAAGGUAUAAGGGAGCUUGACUGCGAGAGCUACAACUCGAGCAGGGACGAAAGUCGGGCUUAGUGAUCCGGUGGUUCCGUAUGGAAGGGCCAUCGCUCAACGGAUAAAAGCUACCCUGGGGAUAACAGGCUUAUCUCCCCCAAGAGUUCACAUCGACGGGGAGGUUUGGCACCUCGAUGUCGGCUCGUCGCAUCCUGGGGCUGUAGUCGGUCCCAAGGGUUGGGCUGUUCGCCCAUUAAAGCGGCACGCGAGCUGGGUUCAGAACGUCGUGAGACAGUUCGGUCCCUAUCCGUCGCGGGCGUAGGAAAUUUGAGAGGAUCUGCUCCUAGUACGAGAGGACCAGAGUGGACUUACCGCUGGUGUACCAGUUGUUCUGCCAAGAGCAUCGCUGGGUAGCUAUGUAGGGAAGGGAUAAACGCUGAAAGCAUCUAAGUGUGAAGCCCACCUCAAGAUGAGAUUUCCCAUGAUUUUAUAUCAGUAAGAGCCCUGAGAGAUGAUCAGGUUGAUAGGUUAGAAGUGGAAGUGUGGUGACACAUGUAGCGGACUAAUACUAAUAGCUCGAGGACUUAUCCAA
rnacentral:rRNA from 1 species